rnacentral:rRNA from 1 species
GACGUAGGAGGCGAGCGUUGUCCGGAUUCAUUGGGCGUAAAGAGCACGCAGGCGGUUUGGCAAGUCGGAUGUGAAAACCCGGAGCUCAACUCCGGACCUGCAUCCGAAACUGCCCGACUAGAGGUAGGUAGGGGAGAUCGGAAUUCCUGGUGUAGCGGUGAAAUGCGCAGAUAUCAGGAGGAACACCGGUGGCGAAGGCGGGUCUCUGGGCUGAUACUGACGCUGAGGAGCGAAAGCGUGGGGAGCGAACAGG